ensembl:lncRNA
AUUUGAAGUGAGAUUUUUUUGCUAGUUUGUAAGUGAAAUAUUUACCUCUUGAUAUGUAGGGUAGACCUGGCAUUGAUGGAAAGAGAGGUCUGGCUGGAAAAGAUGUGAGCAUUUUUUUCUCUUUGUCAAAUAAUAUUGUGUUUUUUUUAUGUUCCUGCUCUGUUCCAGCAUUUUAAUAAGAUCACUUAAAAAAUACCCACAAAUACCCCAAAAUGAAGUCUUCCUAAUUAUUCUCUUGAGACAGGGAGAGCAAGGACAAAGAGGAGAUGAUGGCAAAAAGGUAUGAUUUGGAGCAAGUCUGGCUAUUCCCCAAACACACCAACACAAUAAACCAUAUUUGUGAUUUUGCGUCUCUAACCCUAGGGUGAUACAGGUGAAUCGGGAACUGAGGUAAGAUAUUUUAUUUUAAUAAGGCAGUAUUAAUUAGCAUCAAAUUAUUAACAUGAUAAUUAAGCCCAAUUGUUAAUUUCUCCUAUCUCCCCCCAGGGUAAAAAAGGGGAAUUGGGUGCUCCGGGCCCACCUGGUACCCAUGUUCUGGUUACUCAACAAGAGGGUGCCACCCUUGAAGAGAUGAGACAGGCAUUCCCUUUGCCAAUGGGACCUCCUGGGGCUAAAGGUCCACCAGGGAUGAAGGGUGACGCUGGUCUUCCAGGGAAAGCAGCUGACAUGAAGAACAUUGAAGUAAUGUUUGAAGACUAUGGCAUAAGGCUGCCCUUGCUGAAGGCACUGAUUGACAGGCUGCUGCAGGACGGCAUGGAGGAGCUUCUGCAGGAGCUAACCACCUCUAGGAGAGUCAAUGAGAAGGAGAAACACGGCUCCAACAUUAUCACUGACUACACAAGAACUGUAAAGUAUGAGAUCUCCAAGGAGCCUCUGACAGAGAUGGACACCAUAGAGGAGGCAGUUGACUCUGACCUAGACAGACAGCUACCAGAACCUAACUCUGAUGCUUUGAAUGAAACGGCGGAGGGCCCCACAUUCUGGAGCCUUACCCCUCUUAAUGGUCUUAAUGGGGUCCAAGACGUGGGGAGGAUAGAGAGCACCUCUAAGGGGAUAGAGGGGACACUGACAGUGGACGAGGACUUCAGUGAAGCUCCCUCGCCCAAGUUGCCUUUAUCAAACUCAACAUUUAACAACACAACGUCUGAAGAGAGGGUCUCUGAGGUACCAGGGGCAAUAGUAGAAAGUGUUCUCCUCAGUGGGGAAUACUCCUUGAAGAAAAAGAAGAGUCGAGAACGGAAGGGCAAGGGACAGAAAGGACGACAUAAGAGGCAACGCCUGACGAGUACAGAGGAGGAAGCGGAGGAGGAGGAAUUAUACGAUGGGGAUGAGUACAGUUAUGAAUAUGUGGAUUCCACAGAUGAUCCCUUACUGUCAAUGGAAAAGCAAGGGGAGUUUGAAAUCACAACAGAAAGCACACUACAUGGAAUGAGCAAAGAGAGUGGCCUGACAACUUUAGGUCCAUUUCCAUCCCAGUCACCGGGAGACAGUGAAAAGCAGGGAGAAUUCAUCACACCUAUCCUUCCCAGCACAACGGAAGAAACAGAGAAGGCGGGACUAUCUCAUGUCCGGGUCAGAGUAAGGAAGAGCGCCCCCUGGCCAGAUUACAUGGUAAGUACACUGAAAAAAAAUAUUGAUUACCAUUCAAAUACAAUGUAAGAGUACAUCAUUUUUAGAAAACAAUGGCAUUUGCCAGAAAUAUUUGAGUCUUUGCUGUUUCAGGCAUACAUGCCAGGAACUGCCGGAGGACGAAAUCGAUACCAUGACAGACAAAAAGUAAACAGAUUUAUUUACUAGGGAUAUUUUUCUAUUACACUGAUAUCAACUACUCAUAGGUUGUUAUCAAAUCACCAGUUAGCGUGGAGGGAAUAGCACAGGGAAGGGGUUCAGAGAAGUUAUGACAUGGUCAAAUCAACAACGUGUGAACAUUCCCUCUUU